CUAGCUGUAAACGAUGGAUACUAGGCGUUGAGAGUAUCGACCCUCUCAGUGUCGUAGCUAACGCGUUAAGUAUCCCGCCGUGGGGAGUACGCGCGCAAGCGUGAAACUCAAAGGAAUUGACGGGGGCCCGCACAAGCGGUGGAGUAUGUGGUUUAAUUCGAUGCAACGCGAAGAACCUUACCAGGGCUUGACAUGUCCGGAACCCUGCCCAAAGGCGGGGGUGCCUACGGGAACCGGAACACAGGUGGUGC
rnacentral:rRNA from 1 species